AUGAGCAACACCACGGUCAACGAGAAGGUGCUCGGGGAGUGCCUCAAUGAGAUCUCCCGCGCGCUCCUGCAGUUCGACGUCCGGAAGAUCGUCAACCUCGAGACCCUCGCCGCCGGCACCAACAUGCAGCGCAUCAUACAGCAGGCCGUCUUCAGGGAGCUCUACAACAUGCUGGAUCCAGGGAAGCCGGUCUUCAACCCCAAGAAGGGCUAG
rnacentral:rRNA from 1 species